GCAAGUCGAGCGAACGGACGAGAAGCUUGCUUCUCUGAUGUUAGCGGCGGACGGGUGAGUAACACGUGGAUAACCUACCUAUAAGACUGGGAUAACUUCGGGAAACCGGAGCUAAUACCGGAUGAUAUUUUGAACCGCAUGGUUCAAAAGUGAAAGACGGUCUUGCUGUCACUUAUAGAUGGAUCCGCGCUGCAUUAGCUAGUUGGUAAGGUAACGGCUUACCAAGGCAACGAUGCAUAGCCGACCUGAGAGGGUGAUCGGCCACACUGGAACUGAGACACGGUCCAGACUCCUACGGGAGGCAGCAGUAGGGAAUCUUCCGCAAUGGGCGAAAGCCUGACGGAGCAACGCCGCGUGAGUGAUGAAGGUCUUCGGAUCGUAAAACUCUGUUAUUAGGGAAGAACAUAUGUGUAAGUAACUGUGCACAUCUUGACGGUACCUAAUCAGAAAGCCACGGCUAACUACGUGCCAGCAGCCGCGGUAAUACGUAGGUGGCAAGCGUUAUCCGGAAUUAUUGGGCGUAAAGCGCGCGUAGGCGGUUUUUUAAGUCUGAUGUGAAAGCCCACGGCUCAACCGUGGAGGGUCAUUGGAAACUGGAAAACUUGAGUGCAGAAGAGGAAAGUGGAAUUCCAUGUGUAGCGGUGAAAUGCGCAGAGAUAUGGAGGAACACCAGUGGCGAAGGCGACUUUCUGGUCUGUAACUGACGCUGAUGUGCGAAAGCGUGGGGAUCAAACAGGAUUA
rnacentral:rRNA from 1 species